UAUUGAGGUAUUUAUUGGUUUGUUUAUUCAAGGAUUAACAUUGCUUCUUGCUCUUCUUGCGAUUGGGGAGAAGAUUGAUUCAGAAAGUAAAGACAACGUAUGUUGGGAGGCUGCGGCGGGUAGCUCCAUGUUGGGAUAUGCCACACCUCUGAUUCUGAUAAGUUUGUUUAAGGUGCUGUCUUGGUAAAGCUUCUGAUUCCAACUCAGGAUGUGAAAGACGCCUACGACCACAGAGAACUGAGGUUUCGCGCCAAGGACUUUGUAUUUUUGCUGUGUUUCGCUCUGACUUGCACCUUUGCUUAUCAAGCAGUUGAAGAGAAAA